UGUAGCGUUAUCUUGAAGUCAUGGACCAUCACCAGAUCUUGGUAUGUGGCGAUUUUAACGAAGAUGCGCUCUCUGCCUCGUACAAGCCCGUCCUUGAAUUGUUUUGCUCAAAGGGUUACACGCAGCUCAUAACCACUGCUACCACUGACAAAAACACAUUGAUCGACCUAAUUUUUGUCUCUCGACCUCAGUGUGCUCUUUAUUCAGGUGUCCUGCAAACGUACUACAGCUAUCAUAAUCCUGUUUUCUGUGUCUUGAAUACUGAAAGGUAAGUCAAAUCUAAAUUGUGUAUUUCAGCAUUUGGGAAAUUAACAAGGACGGAAAUCAGAUGGCGUAAGUGGCGGUGCGCGGUGGGCGAUUUGUUGAAUUGAGAUGAGAUGGUAUCGGAGGCGUAGGUGGCUCAGAAAGGCAAAUGUAAUGUUGGCGUUGGGCAGAAACCUCACAAUUAUAUAGAAAAAAAUACUAACGACCAAUGUGAAUAGUGAUGCGCUUUAUAUUUUACGCUGAACUCGUGUCUGUGGAUGUAAAUCAAGUUGAGUUAAGGGAAGGCGCUCAACCAGCUGGGAAGCUGCACCUUCUUGGGCCGCCCAUGCAUGUGGCAGUAUGGGCAGCUGCUGGGCAAAAGACCCUCUGAGGGUGGCGAGGGGACGGCACGGCCGUUGACACCUAAAUAAGACUUGCGGAAAUAACUGCUAGUCUACUCGUCUGCGGGAUGGAUGGAAGAGUCCAUCUCAUCGUCCAUCAAAAGGAAGGCUUUUAAAAUUUUAAAAAGCCCUCCCUUAACUCAACUUGAUUUAAAUUUUAAACUUUUAGAAAUUUGAACUAUUUAAAUAUUUAACUUUCAAACUUUUUAACUUUUAAUAUGUUUAACUUUUGUAAAUGAACUCACGGAUGAUCUAAGAGGCGACUUUUUAACUUUUUGCGUUUUAUUCGUUCUAACGUCAAAUUUGAAAGAUGACUUCAGGAAUGGACUUUUAAAGUUUUUAACUUUUAAAAUGUUUACAUUUUCUAAAUUAACUCCCAGAUGAGUUAAGGGGUGACUUUUUAAACUUUUUAAUUCUAAUGCUAGAAUCAAAUUUUAAAGAUGACUUCAGGAAAGGCCUUUUAAACUUUAUUUUUUUAUCAUUAUUUUCAAUUCUUUUUAACGUCAUAAUCACGAGGCGAGAACGGAAAACAGACGAGGUAAGUUGCUCAUCAAUAAACAUGUGUUUUCCCUUUCUAAAAACACUAAAUGCUUCUAUUUCACUCUUCUCUAUUUUCAGAGUUUCUUUUAUCUGGCGAAAGCAGUUCGACCCACAAUGGAGGCCAGAGGUAAACAUUCUCCACAAAGACCUUGAGUAUGCAAAAACUUCCAGCGUGGACCAAUGACUCCCAAACCAGGGAGGCGAGAAGCAAGACUUAUUCUUCUUUUUUCCUGUAACUCCACAUGCUCCAUUUGUCAAGACGGGAGUUUGGCCCCUGCGGUGCUCAACCUUGAUGGGAUUUGGCCUGUCUUGCCAGAGAAAUGACACAGCACAGCGACAGCCAAGUCUUUCAAAAAGACUCGUACGAUGGAGGCCAGCAUCAUGGAACGCAAACUCCCAAACCAACGUGGCAAUCGUGACUUCUGCUGAUUCUUCUAUGGAACAAUCAAGGGCACCUCUGGCAGCUCUUUGCUUUGACUCUGACAUCUACCUUUUUUAUUUUUAACAUGCUGUCUUUCAUGUGCCUUCUCUGCAUCCAUUGCAGCCUGGUGAUCCUGAAAGGGGGAUCCUCCCAUCUGUGGUCCCUUCUCAAGGUUUCUCAUUUUUCCCCUGGUGUUUUUUUUUUUGAGUUUUUCCUUGCCCUUUUGGAAGCUUAAGAUCAGGGGGUGCUUUGAGAAUAAUUGCCAAUUUGUCUAUGCGAAGCCCUUUGAGACUGCUUGUGAUUUAGGGCUAUGUAAAUAUAUUUUACUUGACUUGACUUCUAUGAGUAGCCAGCGAGGAAAAUUGUCCCUUUUUAGUUUUGCUGCUUUUCCUCACCUCCAUGUUUUUAUCGUAUCUUCUUGGGUAUUGCCUGGCCUUUGACUGUUGGAAACUUGUCCCUUUGGCUUUACUCUAUUAAGUCUCAGAUACGUACAGUCUGUUUUCUGUUCUCCUUUAUUUAUGUAUUUAUUUGUUUAUUUGUUUGAUUGCUUAUUUAUUGUUUAAUCGUACUUUUAUUUGGUUACUUUUUCGGCAAUGCUUUGAACUCUGAAGUUGUAAUCAUUUUGAUUUGCACAAUUGUUGAACUUUAUACAUUUCUUUGCCUCAAACCAUGUUUACAUUAUCUUUUGUAUAUGUAUCCCAAGUCUGUCUAAUACCAUCUCCAAUCAUGCUACAGUUGAAUUAUUAAAUAAAUUAAAAAAAAACACUUGUUGUGUUUAUGCAGAGUAGAGAUGAACGCUAAUGUACUUUUUUAUUCAGCAACUUUUUAUUUUUCCCCACUUGUCUCACAUAGCAGUACAAUCUCUCUUGCGCACCACAGCGCACCCCACUGACAAUAUUAUGCAAGACCUCCUCUAACGCACUAUAUAUAUGUAUUAUAGUUUCAACAUGUCAAGGCGUCUGGAAAAAAAAAAGGGAAUUGACUUUGUUUCCUACUUCUGGAUUUUAUUCACAUUGCUGUGAUUGUUUGCAGCAAUGGGUCCUAAUUUAUUAGUCUUUGGUAUGACCUGGCUGGGUUUUGAACUCAUAACCUUCCGGUUCCAGGGUGGACAUUCUACCACUAGGCCACUGAGCUGGAGCUUUUGUGUUGUUUUUAGUUUAUAUAAA